rnacentral:rRNA from 1 species
AACUCCGGGAAACCGGGGCUAAUACCGGAUGGUUGUUUGAACCGCAUGGUUCAAACAUAAAAGGUGGCUUCGGCUACCACUUACAGAUGGACCCGCGGCGCAUUAGCUAGUUGGUGAGGUAACGGCUCACCAAGGCGACGAUGCGUAGCCGACCUGAGAGGGUGAUCGGCCACACUGGGACUGAGACACGGCCCAGACUCCUACGGGAGGCAGCAGUAGGGAAUCUUCCGCAAUGGACGAAAGUCUGACGGAGCAACGCCGCGUGAGUGAUGAAGGUUUUCGGAUCGUAAAGCUCUGUUGUUAGGGAAGAACAAGUACCGUUCGAAUAGGGCGGUACCUUGACGGUACCUAACCAGAAAGCCACGGCUAACUACGUGCCAGCAGCCGCGGUAAUACGUAGGUGGCAAGCGUUGUCCGGAAUUAUUGGGCGUAAAGGGCUCGCAGGCGGUUUCUUAAGUCUGAUGUGAAAGCCCCCGGCUCAACCGGGGAGGGUCAUUGGAAACUGGGGAACUUGAGUGCAGAAGAGGAGAGUGGAAUUCCACGUGUAGCGGUGAAAUGCGUAGAGAUGUGGAGGAACACCAGUGGCGAAGGCGACUCUCUGGUCUGUAACUGACGCUGAGGAGCGAAAGCGUGGGGAGCGAACAGGAUUAGAUACCCUGGUAGUCCACGCCGUAACGAUGAGUGCUAAGUGUUAGGGGGUUUCCGCCCCCUUAGUGCUGCAGCUAACGCAUUAAGCACUCCGCCUGGGGGAGUACGGUCGCAAGACUGAACUYCAACGAUUGACGGGGGGGCCCGCACC